rfam:Triticum aestivum genome assembly, contig: Triticum_aestivum_CS42_TGACv1_scaffold_221940_3B
UAUAUAGUCCCUCCGUCCGAAAAAACUUGUCCUUCAAAUGGAUGUAUCUAGCACCAAGUUAGUGUUAGAUACAUCUAUUUGAGGAACAAGCUUGGGGCAAGUUUCUUCGGACGGAGGGAGUACUGA